rnacentral:rRNA from 1 species
GACGAACGCUGGCGGCGCGCUUAACACAUGCAAGUCGAACGGAAAGGCCUGCUUUCCCUUGUGGAUUGCGGGUACUCGAGUGGCGAACGGGUGAGUAACACGUGAGUGAUCUGCCCCCAACUUGGGUAUAAGCCUGGGAAACUGGGUCUAAUUCCCGAUAGGACUGCAGGGUGGUGCCUGUGGUGGAAAACGAUUUUCUAGUGGUUGGGGAUGAGCUCGCGGCCUAUCAGCUUGUUGGUGGGGUAAUGGCCUACCAAGGCGGCGACGGGUAGCCGGCCUGAGAGGGUGGACGGCCAAAUUGGGACUGAGAUACAGCCCAGACUCCUACGGGAGGCAGCAGUGGGGAAUAUUGCACAAUGGGCGGAAGCCUGAUGCAGCGACGCCGCGUGGGGGAUGACGGCCUUCGGGUUGUAAACUCCUUUCGACCGCGAGGAAGCCACCUGGUUGGAAGGGUGGUGACGGUAGUGGUAGAAGAAGCACCGGCUAACUACGUG